UUUAUCUACUCCGAAUUCCUGUUCUCAUUUUAAGACCCAGGAAACGACACACAAUUCUCAGAAUACUGCCUCAUUCCUGCUGGUAUGCAUCCAUUCAGUGAUUCCCUCUCACAUUCUCUUUCUUUGUAAGGAUCCAUUAUCUUUCAAGAGUAUCCUGCUGAGCUAAGUAUUUCUGGCACCUAGGAAAAUAUGGGGCACACUAUUGGAACAAAAUGCAUGCUGAAUUACCAACUAUAAGAACAAAAGAUAAAAGAAAAGAACCUGAUAACUCUUCUCCAUGACAUGGCGUUUCUGAUAGCUCAGCUGAAUGUUGGAUGCUGAGAUAUUGACUAGAUUUUCACACUCUGACUGAGUUGGAGCACCAUUUUCCCUGAACUGUUAAGUCUUCAGUUCUUUUUUCUAAUGUAUAAUAUUUAGCUACUGGUUAGCCUCUCCAAAGACUCUUUCAUUUUAUGGGCAACUCAGCACUUAGACAUUUGCCUUGAAGGUCACCCAGACACAAACUCUGAAGUCCCUACUCAGUUUCCUUGCCUACUUUCUAGUGCCCUCUCCUUACCAAUCUCAACAACCUGGGCCACAGUCCAUUCUAAUGUUUACUGCAGCUGUAAUCUCUAGAUUUCAGGUCCCUCUCAUAGUGUUAGAAAUUUUUCUUAGGUACAUUGUUGAGACAAUCAUUGAGCACACUCUGUUUUCCUUCUCUGAAGAGAAUUGUAAGCCUCUCCAGUGCUUGAAAAAAAAGGUUUUUGGAUGGUUCUUCAUGUUCUAUUUUUGAUAUUAGAGUGCUUUUUGUGGUCACCAGAGUAAGUUCCCUUAUUGUCAUUUUAAAAUGUUAAACCUACUUUCUUUGUAAAUGCAUGUGUCUAAGCAAGCAGGUUGACACCUAGAAACAUUUUACCCUUUAAUAAAUAUUGCAUCAGUAGUGGAUUUACAUUUAUAUUAUGCAAGAAAUACUCAUAUAAUGAAGGGAGUUUAGGAGAAUGUAUCAUUCUCUUCCAACUUUCUUCAGCUAACUUUCCUUUGUGAGCUGACAUCUCACAAG